AUUGAACGCUGGCGGCAUGCUUUACACAUGCAAGUCGAACGGUAACAGGUUAAGCUGACGAGUGGCGAACGGGUGAGUAAUGCAUCGGAACGUGCCCGGUCGUGGGGGAUAACGCAGCGAAAGCUGCGCUAAUACCGCAUACGAUCUAAGGAUGAAAGCGGGGGACCGUAAGGCCUCGCGCGAUCGGAGCGGCCGAUGGCAGAUUAGGUAGUUGGUGGGGUAAAGGCUCACCAAGCCAACGAUCUGUAGCUGGUCUGAGAGGACGACCAGCCACACUGGGACGGAGAAACGGCCCAGACGCCUACGGGAGGCAGCAGUGGGGAAUUUUGGACAAUGGGCGAAAGCCUGAUCCAGCAAUGCCGCGUGCAGGAAGAAGGCCUUCGGGUUGUAAACUGCUUUUGUACGGAGCGAAAAGGUCUCCUCUAAUACAGGGGGCUCAUGACGGUACCGUAAGAAUAAGCACCGGCUAACUACGUGCCAGCCGCCGCCGUAA
rnacentral:rRNA from 1 species